rnacentral:rRNA from 1 species
GGUUAAGCGACUAAGCGUACACGGUGGAUGCCCUGGCAGUCAGAGGCGAUGAAGGACGUGCUAAUCUGCGAAAAGCGUCGGUAAGGUGAUAUGAACCGUUAUAACCGGCGAUGUCCGAAUGGGGAAACCCAGUGCAAUUCGUUGCACUAUCGUUAACUGAAUACAUAGGUUAACGAGGCGAACCGGGGGAACUGAAACAUCUAAGUACCCCGAGGAAAAGAAAUCAACCGAGAUUCCCCCAGUAGCGGCGAGCGAACGGGGAGCAGCCCAGAGUCUGAAUCAGCUUGUGUGUUAGUGGAACGGUCUGGAAAGUCCGACGGUACAGGGUGAUAGUCCCGUACACCAAAAUGCACAGGUUGUGAACUCGAAGAGUAGGGCGGGACACGUGGUAUCCUGUCUGAAUAUGGGGGGACCAUCCUCCAAGGCUAAAUACUCCUGACUGACCGAUAGUGAACCAGUACCGUGAGGGAAAGGCGAAAAGAACCCCGGCGAGGGGAGUGAAAAAGAACCUGAAACCGUGUACGUACAAGCAGUGGGAGCACCUUCGGGUGUGACUGCGUACCUUUUGUAUAAUGGGUCAGCGACUUAUAUUCUGUAGCAAGGUUAACCGUAUAGGGGAGCCGCAGGGAAACCGAGUCUUAACUGGGCGUUAAGUUGCAGGGUAUAGACCCGAAACCCGGUGAUCUAGCCAUGGGCAGGUUGAAGGUUGGGUAACACUAACUGGAGGACCGAACCGACUAAUGUUGAAAAAUUAGCGGAUGACUUGUGGCUGGGGGUGAAAGGCCAAUCAAACCGGGAGAUAGCUGGUUCUCCCCGAAAGCUAUUUAGGUAGCGCCUCGUGAACUCAUCUUCGGGGGUAGAGCACUGUUUCGGCUAGGGGGUCAUCCCGACUUACCAACCCGAUGCAAACUACGAAUACCGAAGAAUGUUAUCACGGGAGACACACGGCGGGUGCUAACGUCCGUCGUGAAGAGGGAAACAACCCAGACCGCCAGCUAAGGUCCCAAAGUCAUGGUUAAGUGGGAAACGAUGUGGGAAGGCACAGACAGCCAGGAUGUUGGCUUAGAAGCAGCCAUCAUUUAAAGAAAGCGUAAUAGCUCACUGGUCGAGUCGGCCUGCGCGGAAGAUGUAACGGGGCUAAACCAUGCACCGAAGCUGCGGCAGCGACACUAUGUGUUGUUGGGUAGGGGAGCGUUCUGUAAGCCUGCGAAGGUGUGCUGUGAGGCAUGCUGGAGGUAUCAGAAGUGCGAAUGCUGACAUAAGUAACGAUAAAGCGGGUGAAAAGCCCGCUCGCCGGAAGACCAAGGGUUCCUGUCCAACGUUAAUCGGGGCAGGGUGAGUCGACCCCUAAGGCGAGGCCGAAAGGCGUAGUCGAUGGGAAACAGGUUAAUAUUCCUGUACUUGGUGUUACUGCGAAGGGGGGACGGAGAAGGCUAUGUUAGCCGGGCGACGGUUGUCCCGGUUUAAGCAUGUAGGCUGAUUAUCCAGGCAAAUCCGGAUAAUCAAGGCUGAGGUGUGAUGACGAGGCACUACGGUGCUGAAGUAACAAAUGCCCUGCUUCCAGGAAAAGCCUCUAAGCAUCAGGUAACAUCAAAUCGUACCCCAAACCGACACAGGUGGUCAGGUAGAGAAUACCAAGGCGCUUGAGAGAACUCGGGUGAAGGAACUAGGCAAAAUGGUGCCGUAACUUCGGGAGAAGGCACGCUGGUGUGUAGGUGAAGCCCCUGCGGGUGGAGCUGAGACCAGUCGAAGAUACCAGCUGGCUGCAACUGUUUAUUAAAAACACAGCACUGUGCAAACACGAAAGUGGACGUAUACGGUGUGACGCCUGCCCGGUGCCGGAAGGUUAAUUGAUGGGGUUAUCCGUAAGGAGAAGCUCUUGAUCGAAGCCCCGGUAAACGGCGGCCGUAACUAUAACGGUCCUAAGGUAGCGAAAUUCCUUGUCGGGUAAGUUCCGACCUGCACGAAUGGCGUAAUGAUGGCCAGGCUGUCUCCACCCGAGACUCAGUGAAAUUGAACUCGCUGUGAAGAUGCAGUGUACCCGCGGCAAGACGGAAAGACCCCGUGAACCUUUACUAUAGCUUGACACUGAACAUUGAGCCUUGAUGUGUAGGAUAGGUGGGAGGCUUUGAAGCGUGGACGCCAGUCUGCGUGGAGCCAACCUUGAAAUACCACCCUUUAAUGUUUGAUGUUCUAACGUUGGCCCCUGACCGGGGUUGCGGACAGUGUCUGGUGGGUAGUUUGACUGGGGCGGUCUCCUCCCAAAGCGUAACGGAGGAGCACGAAGGUUAGCUAAUCCUGGUCGGACAUCAGGAGGUUAGUGCAAUGGCAUAAGCUAGCUUGACUGCGAGCGUGACGGCGCGAGCAGGUGCGAAAGCAGGUCAUAGUGAUCCGGUGGUUCUGAAUGGAAGGGCCAUCGCUCAACGGAUAAAAGGUACUCCGGGGAUAACAGGCUGAUACCGCCCAAGAGUUCAUAUCGACGGCGGUGUUUGGCACCUCGAUGUCGGCUCAUCACAUCCUGGGGCUGAAGUAGGUCCCAAGGGUAUGGCUGUUCGCCAUUUAAAGUGGUACGCGAGCUGGGUUUAGAACGUCGUGAGACAGUUCGGUCCCUAUCUGCCGUGGGCGCUGGAGAAUUGAGGGGGCUGCUCCUAGUACGAGAGGACCGGAGUGGACGCAUCACUGGUGUUCGGGUUGUCAUGCCAAUGGCACUGCCCGGUAGCUAAAUGCGGAAGAGAUAAGUGCUGAAAGCAUCUAAGCACGAAACUUGCCCCGAGAUGAGUUCUCCCUGAGACUUUAAGUCUCCUGAAGGAACGUUAAAGACGAUGACGUUGAUAGGCCGGGUGUGUAAGCGCAGCGAUGCGUUGAGCUAACCGGUACUAAUGAACCGUGAGGCUUAACCUU